rnacentral:rRNA from 1 species
UACGUAGGCAGCGAGCGUUGUUCGGAAUUACUAGGCGUAAAGAGUGUGUAGGCGGUGCUCUAAGUUCGGUGUGAAAUCUCCCGGCUUAACUGGGAGGGUGCGCCGGAAACUGGAGUGCUCGAGCGUGGGAGAGGAAAGCGGAAUUCCUGGUGUAGCGGUGAAAUGCGUAGAUAUCAGGAGGAACACCUGCGGUGUAGACGGCUUUCUGGACCAUUGCUGACGCUGAGACACGAAAGCGUGGGUAGCAAACAGG